rnacentral:rRNA from 1 species
GAUGAACGCUAGCGGCAGGCUUAAUACAUGCAAGUCGAGGGGCAGCACGUUUCGCAGCCAUGCGGGAUGGUGGCGACCGGCAAACGGGUGAGGAUCGCGUACACAAUCUUCCCAGAGCAGGGGGAUAACCCGGGGAAACCCGGACUAAUACCCCGUAGUUUACUUUGAAGGCAUCUUUGAGGUAAUAAAACUCCGGUGGCUUUGGAUGAGUGUGCGUCCCAUUAGGUAGUUGGCAGGGUAACGGCCUACCAAGCCUUCGAUGGGUAACUGGUGUGAGAGCACGACCAGGCACACGGGCACUGGGACACGGGCCCGACUCCUCCGGGAGGCAGCAGUAAGGAAUAUUGGUCAAUGGACGCAAUUCUGAACCAGCCAUGCCGCGGGAAGGAUGAAGGUCCUUUGGAUUGUAAACUUUUUUUAUAGGGGGCGAAAAAAGGGUUUUUUAACUCACUUGGCGGUACCUUAUGAAUAAGCCCCGGCUAACCCCGG